CCCAGCCAUAACCUCUUCUGGACCCAAUCCUGACCCUGCCCACACCUCCCAUGUAACCCACUCUGACCCAGCCACCGCCUCAUGUCACUCACACAGGGUAGAGCAUGAGUCCAUGGCCAAUGUCCCAACCUCCUGGAAUCUCUCCAACUGUCAUGGAACCUCCCCCAACUCCAGCUGCAGGCUUGACUGAAGCCCUGAGGCCUGCCUCUGGGCAGCAGGGGAGACAAGAGGACAUAGAAGAAGGGCCAGAGGGAUUCAAACCGCAAAGGACCAAGCCGGAACCUGGGAGGGAGACCAACAGAUUUCCAGGUGGCCAUGGAGGUGUCUGGAAGGAGGAGCUGAAGCGGUUGGCAGGCUGUUUAGUGCAUCUGGGGACUGGCCUUGCCCACAUCCCCACAUGUCCCAGAGGCCCCAAUCUGGCCCCCAGAGCACCAAGCCAAGUUUCCUUCCAGCAGCAUCCAGUAAUACUCAAAAUGAGACUGAAGUCUCCCCACCAAUUACCUACAGGCCCCGGGUCAGUAUCCAAGGCUUUCAGCCCAUUACCAACAGUGACCAGGUCAGCAUCCAAGAGCCCUUGUCCAUUAUCCACAAUCACCAUGUCCAAGACCCUCCACUAGUCCACGGUUGCUGGGCCAGUACCCAAGACGCACCACCCAUUAUCAAUAGUGGCUGGAUCAGUACUGAGGACACGCCGUCCACCAUGAACAGUCAUCAGCUCAGUAUCCAAGACACAUCGUCAGUUACCUACAGUCACCGCUUCAGUACCCGAGAUGUUCCACCAAUUUCCCAAAAUCACCACUUCAGCAUCCAAAAUUCUCCAUUACUAUCUCAAGAGACCAAUAUAGAGUCUCUUAUCUACAGUGGUAGCCAAGUCAUUAGCCAAGACCAUCUUCCAACAAACCAGAGUCCCUGCUCAAGUACUCAAUGCCUCAUAUCGCCGAUCCAGGCCAAGGUUGAUGCCUCACCUUCAAUUACUCACAUCUCCACAGCCAGUAUCAAAAGCCUUGAUUCAACCAUCUGGACCUCCCAAGAGAGUUCCAAAGACACUAUGGACAGCUUCCUGGGCAACCCAAGUACUCUAGACAACAAUGUCCAGAGCAUACAGUCAAACAGAUCUGCAAAGAUGGAUUCUGGCAGGUGUCAGAGAAAGAGUACAUGCAGCCAAUCACAGCUGCCCCUGGGCUGGCGGCUGCUACACAGAGCCAAGAAGAUCAGCCAUCAGUGCCCUGACAUCUCCUGCCUCCAUGAGUACGACCAGAAUGCUUACCUUCUGGACUUUGCCUGGGCCUUUCUCAUCCUCGCCAGCAUCACCAGCAUCUGCCUCUGCAUCUUACUCCUAAACAUCAUCUUCUUCACCAGCUCCAACACACCCACGCUGGACUUCUCCAACGGCAUCCUCGGGAUCCUGACAGGCAUGGCACUGAGACUUAUCCCUCCAGAACCCUGGCAAAGAGUGCCUUGCCCAGUGCCCAGGAUGAUAUCCAACCCCCUCCCCACCACAUUUCAACACUGUCCUUGUCCUCACAUUCAUUGCCCAUGCCAAUGCUAUCUCCCUCCAAAUCUCCAACCAAGCCCGAUAAAAAAUGUGAACUUCCAAUACAACCGCAUCUCCAGCCCCAAUAUCAGCCUCCAGUUCACCUGUCAUCUCUGUCACCAACGAAUCUCAAACUCAUCGGUAUUCAUUUUUGUGGUGUCCAUACCCAUCUCAUCCCCCAUUCCAAUUCUAUCUCUUUCCAAUCUCCAAACCAUCCCCCUUACCAUCCCUAACCCCUUUCCAAAUCUCAACACUCAUUCCAAAUCCAACCCAACUCUAUCACCUGUGAACCUCACUUUCAAACUCAACACAACCCCAUCCCCAACCUUACCGUCCAUCUUCAUCACUCAAACUUGAACCUCUAC
ensembl:lncRNA